rnacentral:rRNA from 1 species
GCUCAACCGGGGAGGGUCAUUGGAAACUGGGAAACUUGAGUGCAGAAGAGGAGAGUGGAAUUCCACGUGUAGCGGUGAAAUGCGUAGAGAUGUGGAGGAACACCAGUGGCGAAGGCGACUCUCUGGUCUGUAACUGACGCUGAGGAGCGAAAGCGUGGGGAGCGAACAGGAUUAGAUACCCUGGUAGUCCACGCCGUAAACGAUGAGUGCUAAGUGUUAGGGGGUUUCCGCCCCUUAGUGCUGCAGCUAACGCAUUAAGCACUCCGCCUGGGGAGUACGGUCGCAAGACUGAAACUCAAAGGAAUUGACGGGGGCCCGCACAAGCGGUGGAGCAUGUGGUUUAACUUGUUUUUAACGCGAAGAACCUUACCAGGUCUUGACAUCCUCUGACAACCCUAGAGAUAGGGCUUUCCCUUCGGGGACAGAGUGACAGGUGGUGCAUGGUUGUCGUCAGCUCGUGUCGUGAGAUGUUGGGUUAAGUCCCGCAACGAGCGCAACCCUUGAUCUUAGUUGCCAGCAUUUAGUUGGGCACUCUAAGGUGACUGCCGGUGACAAACCGGAGGAAGGUGGGGAUGACGUCAAAUCAUCAUGCCCCUUAUGACCUGUGCUACACACGUGCUACAAUGGACAGAACAAAG